CAUGUGCAGCUGCUGUCGUGUCUCUGCGCUGUCUGCAAGCACACUCUAACCACCAUGUGUAUACCUACGUGUCCCAUUGACUGUAUUUUUAAAUACGUGCUGUCCCUCUAGUGCUGCUGUUCUGCACUGAUGGCUCCUUUGCUGCGUGUGAAGAAUCUCCAUUUUUUGCCAAGAGGAAUCUGAAGGAACUGAGCGCCUGAAGAAUUUGCAUGGAAACAUUCAUCCCUCUCAAAACUGCCGGGCACCGCAUCCUCGGAGGAAGGGAGCGGCAGGAUCAGAGCGCGCUGGCGUGGAGUUGGGGCGACUGGUGAGUCUCCCCGUCGCACAGCAGUAAUUAGCGGAGCAGAGGAAAGCGAGCAGCCAGCCGCACAAGGCUGCUGCAGGGCUCGGGGUGGGUGAUGGGAUGCUGGUUCGCUGCCUCCAGCCCCAGCGAUGGGCGCUCUUAUCCCCUGCAGAGCAGGCUGGCAGCUAAGAGGGGGUGGGAACGAGGUCCCAGGCAGCCAGGAAAAUUGGAUGAUCGCACUGGGCUCGGAGGACACGUCUUCUGGAGACGUUAAUGCUGCAUAAUGUGCACUUCAUUCUUUCCAAGAGCAGCCGUGUGUUUGCCUGCUCAGUGCUCGACCGCAUGUGCGCAGGUAAAACCGCGCAUCCGUGUUUGAGUAGCCAAUUUGCAGCGAGUGUCCGUGUGAGCAUACGUGUUUGAUGGCAAAGUGUUCCUGCAUUAGUACCACGGCAACAAUUUUUAUUAACUGUCUGCUUUCCCUCCGGAGUGAUGUAACUCUGCUCCACGCAGCAGAGAUGGGUCCAAUUAAUCGGAUGGAUAAAAGUGGUUAAUGCGCCUUGGAGAAGUGUAAUUUAAUUGGAAAUGAUUAUUAUGUGCCACUCCUAUGUAAAGAGUGUGAGAAUCGGCACUAAUGACUCUGUUAUGAACGUGACUUUUAAUUACUAUAUGGUUCUGUGAUUUAAGUCUUUCCGGGUAUGCUUUUGUUUCCCCGAGAUUUCAGGUGGGAUGCUGAUUGCAACGACGCACUGGGGACGAACAAGGCACGUCCCAGUGAGUUGGGGCUGCCAGUCCUGUUUGUGCUGAGUCUCGGGUGGAACGGGAAUCGCUGAUUUGCCUUUGGAAUCUGCAGAGAUCGGCUCUGUUUGCCGUGUGCCGAGGACUCCUAGGCAGCAGCAUUCCUCGCUGGCGGCAUCAGCCCACACUCUGCCUCCUUCCUCGCUGCCGAUUCCCCGUUCGACUGAGGUUUGCUUCCCAGCACUUAUGCCUGCGGAGGCAAAAGCUGUUCUCCGUGGCGUUGUUUGCCCGGCAGUUUGGCGCUGCCUUUCUCACCACAUCUCUGCCCAUUCAAAUGCGAUCUGCAGGACAUCGUUGCCUCUUCCCUCGCUGCGUGCGCACGGAGCUAGAGGCAGCGCACACAGGUAGGUCGUGCUGAACGGCACGUGGGCUGCAGGCAGCUCUUUGUAACACCCACGGAGGCUGCGGAUGCUGUGGGAUUAAAGCUGGUGAUGUCGGUAAUAGUAACUAAGCUCCUAUACGUCCCCCUGCCACAGCAAAGAUUGUGUGCAGGGAUGUUGGCCCAUGGAGCUAAUGAGCAACAACUGGAUGAGAGAUGGAAAAUUAAACCUGUCUAACCUGCGAAGAAAGCAAGCUAAGGAAGGGAAACUUUCUCCCCGCAGAGCUGUGACAUACUCCCAGUUCACGGGCCACUUGUGGAGCCUUUUACAGCCCCUUGAGUUUUGCUGCAACACAGGAAUGGUGCUCACACAGAGGGUGAAGAUAUGUUUUUGUAAGGGAAUGGAAAAUGUGAGUAAAGAUAUCAGGCUGUCACCAGCACAAAUGUAACUGUGCAUUGUUUUCCUGUUUUCCAGGCUCCCGGACAAGUGCCUCUACAACCAACAAUUUUCCUGUCCUUUUUUUCCUUUGCUUUUACAAGUAUCUUAAACCAAACCCCUCCUUCCCAGCAGGAACAGAAUGCACUGUUGGGUACAGAAGGAAAAAAUCACAACUUUGAAUCCAUCAAGGAGAAACAGGGAAAAAAGUUUCUGUUGGAUGUAAACCCAAGCCAUGCCCACUGAGCUCCACGCGUUCCCCUGACCGGCUCCUGCCCGAGCCGGGGAGCGACCGUUCCCACUUCCCUUGGAGAAGGAGCUCAGCAGCCCUGAACUACAGCCCUGUGACCCCCAGCUGGUCCCAGCUCCGCUGUGCCAACCUCUGGGCAAAAGUGAAGUGGGGAAUGAACGUGUGAUAUGACCCUCACUGCCCGUUCUCUGUUGCGUCGCAUGGAGUCUCGUGCAGGGAUUAAAUUAGCCCUGGCUGCUGCAGGCUGAGCGUGGGUCAUGACCGGAGCAAGUGGCCAGUGCUGGGAACUGCUUCUAAUGACUUUGUCCUCUCCCUCUUUCUGUCUCCUCCUCCCACAGGGAGCAGAGAAGAAGUAUAUCUGUUUGCUGGAGCCAGAGGAGCGAGGGUGGACUGCCUGUGCCCAGGGUCCCUCAGAACGUACAGAUGAGCUGGGUGCCCAUCCCGCCGUGCUGAAAUGAGGUGAGCCAGCACAGCGGUGUGCAGGGCACAGCCCCGUGCUGGGGUGACCAAGGAGGAGGCGCUCUGAAGAUGCCGAAGGCAGAAACCUCACCGCCAUCCAACAGGUAACGACAGCCCGAGGAGGGGACAGGCAGCAGCAUGGUAAUUCUGCUUUUGCAUUUCAAAUGUGUGCAUUGCGGAUGGCUCAGUGUACAGGGGAGAGGGAGGGACAGAUGGGACAGUGGAUCUGAGACAGUCCGUGACUUUGUGUUUGUGCCACCUCUCAGGCCAUUCCCAGGCCGGCAGGUCCCUACCACCACUCAAGACCUGUCAAAGGAAUUAGGAAAGACACAACCUGUAAAUAAUGAAGCCCAAGACACGCUAUGUAAAUUCAAGCACAGAAGGAGAAAGCCCAUGCGGGCUCACCAUUUUCCUUGACAGUCUCCACUUCGCACCUUGAAUUUCGUAAGCCAUUAUUUUCCUCUCUAGUAGCGAUGUACAACAAAGGCAGAGUGAGCGGGCUCCGAGGGAUCACAGACAGCCCUCAAAGCAGCAUCUUUGCCGUGCAGAAUCAAAACCCAGCUCUUGUUAUUUAUUCACCGCAGAGUAAAAGGAACCCCCUGCACCCCCGCGAGGAGGAAGAAAGGGGGGGCAGGGGGUGCGCAUGUGCAUGGGUGUGCAUGAGAGGUGGGAGGCACCCCGCAGCCGCACGCCCCGUGCUGCCGAGCAGGACUCUCACGUGUCGGUCCAAGAGCGUGCCGAGCCCAGGCAGCCCCGGGAGCUCUGCCGUUCUCUCCUCCGUGCAGCCUGGGCUCCAGCCCGCCGAGCUGAUUGUUUAUUUAAGUGCAUUUGAAAUGCGUACAGAAGAUCUACCCCAGAACCGAGGCAUCUUGGCAGGCUGGUGCCUGGGGGAGUCCAGGAGAGGCCGGUGGGGGGCUCUGACCCCCCUGCCAGGACGUGCUGGGGCUGCGGCUGUGGAUCUGCUCACCCGGGGCGAGUGAGUGCGCGUGGGAUGGUUGGGCACCGUCCUUGCCCGCUCCCACUCCCACUGGGGUGGCACAAGUGAUGCUGUGAUGAACAUGUCCUCCCCCCUGGGCAGCCCUCCCUGCCAGCAGGCUCCUGAGAGCUUUGGGCUGGGCCGUGGUGCUGCCAACACACCUUGUGCCCCUUUAUUUCCAUAUUUUUUUGCUUUUGGCUUAGACUGAAGCUAAGGAUUGAUGAUGCACGUGAAAACCAAACGCGCCAGCCCGCAAAAGCACUGCAGCCCCUGCUGGAGAUUUCACUUGAGCGCAGCAGAUCUCAUCUUUCAAGCGCUCCUUUUAAUUGCGGUCUCAACCUGCCGCCGGGGGCUGAGCAGCUUCUGGAGCCACCCUCGGUGCGAGGGAGAUCUUUGGGCUCUUUCAGCGUGCUGCUGGCAGGAGACUCGGACGCUGCCGGCCUCCGGCCGCAGUCCGCAGGCUGCGUCGUAGGGAUGCCUGCUUUCCUUGUGCCUCUGAAGAUGGAAAGCUGUCGGAGAGGGGCCCGGUCUGUGCGAUCCGAUUUGUUUCCCGCGGCAGGUCAAAGUGAGUGUUAGUCUCCCGGCUGCAGGCGCAUCGAUCCGCCUCCCUCGGGACCAUGUGCAAAUACAGACGGGAGGGAAGGAGGCGGCUGCGGAGCAUGUUUUCAUUCUGUCCUCGUGGCCGCCGUGGGAGAAAGGCAGGCAGGCUAGACAGGCACAGCGGUGGGGAGUUUACCGAGGGACACGGCUAAUUGCGUCUCCAGGUUUGUCUCUUCCCCAGCAGGUGCCCAGAGCUUUCCAACCACAGUCUCUCCAUCAGCAGAGAUUCCUUUUAAAACCUGUUUCAGGAGCCCACAGGGGGAAGCUGUAACCCCGGGCACUGCAAGGCCAAGAAGAGUCUGUCCUUCUGCAGCUGGGGGAGGCUUGGACCUGGGACAGGACCCGGGGGGGCAGUGGCCCGCAGGGGUCCCACCGCAGUCCUGCCAGCGAACGGGGCAGGGCACUGGCGGUGCUGCUCCUCUGAGUGCACUUGCAAACUGAGCUGAUUUAAUAAACAACAGGAGUGUUUUCCCAGACCCCAUGCUGAGCUGUAUUCAAAAUACAUUUGUACGAACAUCAAUUUUUAAUGCAAUUUAUGCCAAAUGUUGUUGCAAAAAGCAGCCGUUAACAUGACAUUAAUUCAAUCACUGGAAAUACAGUACGUGCUGCUAAAUGAAAACAUGUUAUUAGUCAAUUAGAUUAACUGGAUGUAACUCCUCCAAACGCAAUGUAUUAUGGUUUCUACAUGGUUAAUUACGUUGUACAAAUUACAUGGCAAUAAGGCUUAGCGCUGGACACACACAUACAUUUAAUACAUAAGCAGAAAAAACAGCUUGCAAUUCACAGUUGAACUCCGCAAAAAAUUAUUUGAAAUAUAAAUAUCUUGCAAGCUUGUAAUAAAGAGACAGAAUUAUGCUGAUAUUAUAAUAGGA